ensembl:lncRNA
GUCACUUCAGUUGUGUCUGACUCUUUGCAACCCUAUGGGCUGUAGCCCACCAGGCUCCUCUGUCUAUGGGAUUCUCUUAGGCAAGAAUACUGGAGUGGGUUGUCGUGCCCUCCUCCAGGGGAUCUUCCCGACCCAGGGAUCAAACCCACCGUCCCUUAUGUCUCCUGCAUUGGCAGGCAGGUUCUUUACCACAAGCACCUCGUGGGAAGCAGAUUCACUGUGGAGGGUGGUGGUUUAGUCGCUAAGUAGUGUCCAGCUCUUGUGACCCUGUGUUCUGUAGCCCGCCAAGCUCCUCUGUCCAUGGAAUUUUCCAGUAUUCUGGCCUGGAGAAUAUAGUCCAUGGGAUUGCAAAGAGUCAGAUACAACUGAGCAACUUCUGCUUCACUUCACUUCAAUGCCAACAAGGUCCAUCCAUGAUGUUGCAAAUGCAGGAUUUCCUCCUUCUUUAAAUGGCUAAAUAAUCUUUCAUAUUAGUAUCUGAAAUAAUGUAUCGUAUAAAGUACAUACCACAUUUGCUUUAUCCAUUCAUCAUUGACUCAUGCAGUGAUAGACACUUAGGUCGUUGCCAUGUCUUGAAUAGCCAUGUGGUUUUAACUUUGCAAUUCCAGCAUCUAUUUCAGAGUAGGAAAUCAAUAAGAAUUUACUGGAUUAAGAAUCAGGUUUAAUAUAAAUGAAUUUUUUGUUGUUAUUAAGGAGAGGACUCACUGACUGGAACUGACUUGUCCAAGGUCACCCAGCUUGUGCUUGACACGCUUGAGUGAUGGGAGCUCACCGCCUCACAAGGCAGGCUGCCCAACCCGUUCUGAGAACAGCAACACUAAUAGCAAAGACACCAAUACAGUGACCAUAUAUGGAGCAUUUCUUUUGGCUCAGAAGCACUGGAUGGAUGUGACGGAUUUCAGAGGCUAAGCAUUAUUUAUCCCCAUUUUACAGUGAAAGAGACUGAAACUCGAAACUCCGGGGGUUUAGUGGUGUACUCUGUGUCUCAGAGGUGGUGAGGGGCGG